rnacentral:rRNA from 1 species
AACGUAGGAGACAAACGUUAUCCGGAGUUACUGGGCGUAAAGGGCUCGUAGGCGGCCAACUAAGUCAGACGUGAAAUCCCUCGGCUUAACCGGGGAACUGCGUCUGAUACUGGAUGGCUGGAGUUUGGGAGAGGGAUGCGGAAUUCCAGGUGUAGCGGUGAAAUGCGUAGAUAUCGGGAGGAACACCUAUGGCGAAGGCAGCUCGCUGGGACGUUACUGACGCUGAGACGCGAAAGCGUGGGGAGCAAACAGG